AAUGAAAUUUGCGAAGUUUUUUCGGUUUCGGCGCCAUUUUCGAGUGGACUCGGAGUGUUGAGAAAAAACUGUGGAUCCUGGAAUUUUACAGUGGAUUUUACUGGUUUUCUGGAGUGCUCUCGCACUGAAGCAGUGAUCUGGUUCUCCAGAGAGGCUGUGCAGGAUGUGCCUGUGUUCAGAGGUGAGUUGGCAAGGUAAGCUCAUAUCCCACCUGCUCCAAAAGUCCUGAGCACCUCUGGGUAAAUGCAGGUCCCUCUGACACACAAAUCCCUUCUUAGGCACUGCAGAUAAUACCUAGGAGAGGGUAAUUGAACUCAAAUUACCCUGUUCAGCUGCCAAUUUCUGAUGUAAAGUUGAGUUUCCAAAGCACAAACUAAGUUUGAAAGAAGCUGAAGUGGAGAUGGGAUAAUUCAAACAUGGAACUUUGUGUUGCAUAAAAUAUUGAUGCUGUCAUGUCAUAAAUGUGCAUAUUUUCUCAGAUGCAUAUUUCACUGCCUAUCCCAAAUUUCCACUUGCCCAGUACUUGGUGUGACUGUUGAUUUUCCCUCUGUGCUAGAGGCUGGUGGAGGUGUAUUGAACCCUUGCUUGAA